rfam:Chelonia mydas contig147723, whole genome shotgun sequence.
UAAUGAUGAAAUAAACCGAAAAUAGCUGGAAUUACCGACAGAUUGUUGGUGGUGAGAAGGUUUUUCUGAAU